GCCAGGAUGGCUUAGUGGUUAAUGCAUUGGACUUAAGAUCCAAUGGACCUAUGUCUGCGUGGGUUCGUACCCCACUUCUGGUA